CGGACGGAGAGUUUGAUCCUGGCUCAGGACGAACGCUGGCGGCGCGCCUAACACAUGCAAGUCGAACGGAGAAGGCGCCCUCGGGCGCGAAUGAAGUGGCGAACGGGUGAGUAACACGUGGCCAACCUGCCCCCCGCUCCGGGACAACCGCGGGAAACCGCGGCUAAUACCGGAUGGACCGGGGCCCCCGCAUGGGGGCCUCGGGAAAGCCCAGGCGGCGGGGGAUGGGGCCGCGGCCCAUCAGGCAGUCGGCGGGGUGACGGCCCACCGAGCUUACGACGGGUAGCCGGGCUGAGAGGCCGAUCGGCCACAUUGGGACUGAGAUACGGCCCAGACUCCUGCGGGAGGCAGCAGUGGGGAAUCUUGCGCAAUGGGGGAAACCCUGACGCAGCGACGCCGCGUGCGGGACGAAGGCCCUCGGGUCGUAAACCGCUUUCAGCAGGGAAGACCAAAGACGGUACCUGCAGAAGAAGCCCCGGCUAACCACGUGCCAGCAGCCGGGGUAACACGUGGGGGGCGAGCGUUGUCCGGAUUCAUUGGGCGUAAAGCGCGCGCAGGCGGCCUCUCAAGCGGCACCGUCGAAGCCGGGGGCUCAACCCCCGGAAGCGGGCCGAACUGGGGGGCUCGAGGCAGGCAGAGGAAGGCGGAAUUCCCGGUGUAGCGGUGGAAUGCGCAGAUAUCGGGAAGAACAC
rnacentral:rRNA from 1 species